rnacentral:misc_RNA from 1 species
GAUGAAGAACGUAGCGAAAUGCGAUAAGUAGUGUGAAUUGCAGAAUUCAGUGAAUCAUCGAAUCUUUGAACGCACAUUGCGCCCCUUGGUAUCCCGAGGGGCAUGCCUGUUCGAGCGUCAUUUCACCACUCAAGCCUGGCUUGGUGUUGGGCGACGUCCCCUUUAGGGACGCGCCUCGAAACGCUCGGCGGCGUGGCACCGGCUUUAAGCGUAGCAGAAUCCUUCGCUUUGGAAGUCGGGGCCCCGCCUGCCGGAAUACCUACUCGUAAGGUUGACCUCGGAUCAGGCAGGGAUACCCGCUGAACUUAAGCAUAUCAAUAAGCGGAGGA